ensembl:snRNA U6 U6 spliceosomal RNA
UUGGACUUCAUCCAAAUUUAAAAUUUUUAUAUUCCUUCAAAGAAGGUUAGCAUGGCCCCUGUGCAAGGAUGACACAUGAAUUCAUGAAGUGCUCCAUAUUUUU